GCUUGACUGUGAGACUGACAGGUCGAGCAGGGACGAAAGUCGGGACUAGUGAUCCGGCAGUGGCUUGUGGAAGCGCUGUCGCUCAACGGAUAAAAGGUACCUCGGGGAUAACAGGCUGAUCUUGCCCAAGAGUCCAUAUCGACGGCAUGGUUUGGCACCUCGAUGUCGGCUCGUCGCAUCCUGGGGCUGGAGUAGGUCCCAAGGGUUGGGCUGUUCGCCCAUUAAAGCGGUACGCGAGCUGGGUUUAGAACGUCGUGAGACAGUUCGGUCCCUAUCCGCUGCGCGCGUAGGAAAUUUGAGAAGAUCUAUCCCUAGUACGAGAGGACCGGGAUGGACGAACCUCUGGUGUGUCAGUUGUUCCGCCAGGAGCACCGCUGAUUAGCUACGUUCGGAAUGGAUAACCGCUGAAAGCAUCUAAGCGGGAAGCCAGCUUCAAGAUGAGAUUUCCAUCCCUUAGGGGGAGAGGCUCGCAGCUAGACUACUGCGUUGAUAGGCCGGAUGUGGAAGCGUGGCAACACGUGUAGCUGACCGGUACUAAUAAGCCGAUAACUUGACAACA
rnacentral:rRNA from 1 species